GAAAAAGACAGUUCAGGGACAACCAAUGACAAAUCUGUUAUAAUGCUCAAUAUGCAAGGGUAACAUGGUCAUUAUAAAUGAUACAGCAGACCACAAACUCUUUCGGUUUCACUAUCCUUCUAGAUCGUUCUCUCCGUUUCCUUUCAAUUUUAGAUUACUCAUUCUCAUCGAGAAAGAAUGAAAUCACUCAAGCAAGGAAAUAGGCUAAGUUUCGGUCAUCUCCUUUAAACCCAAUUCGUAUGUUCACUGAAGCUCUCAAGAUGAGCUCUUAAUUCUUGAGAAUGGUCUCCAAAUGAAAUAUGAAACCCAUGGUUUCUUGAAAAUUAUAAAUUAUGGAGUAAGAUGUUUGACAAAAAAUCAAAGAGAAAAGGCAGAUUACAUCACCAGAAAUCUUCUUGCUUGUGCUUUUGGAAGGUUCACAUUCAGGUGGAGAAAAAAAAUACUAUACAUUGGUAUUAUCAGUACUUGUGUUGGUACAUUGUCUGAGUCCUUUAUCUAAAGGAAGUGACUUCAGGGUUGGAACAUCAGAGCAGAGACGAACAUAGAAUUUAUGAAAAUUCAGAUUGAAUCCCGUGGGACUUGAAACUGAAACUUAAUCUGCAGGAAUUAAGACAGGUUGUGCUUGCUACGUUGCUUGAAAAGGUAGCUCAAGUGAGUUGUUUUCAAGAAAAAACAUGGAUAACUUGCGAAGGAAAUUUAAGUUUGAAGUUUAGGAAUGACAUGAAAAACAUCUCAAUAUUUUUUGUUGGUUGAAUGCUUGUCUCUGAAAAUGAAUUCUCUUUUGGAAAGUAAAAAUGAAAUGACUACACAUGCAAAUAGACAAUUUGUUUCUCUAGAUGGUGUGAUACAUUUAUUUCAGAUGCUAUUAUUAUAAUGUUGUAUCGAAUACAUUUACUUUCGAAAAAACUCGACUUGUUUAGCAUCAAAA